AUUUUCUUAGUAUAGAAGUACCAAUGGCUUCCAACCACUAAGCUCUGGUUAAACCCCAGAAGAAAAUA
rnacentral:tRNA from 1 species